CUACGGGAGGCAGCAGUGAGGGAUAUUGGUCAAUGGGGGAAACCCUGAACCAGCGACGCCGCGUGGGUGAUGAAGGUCUUCGGAUCGUAAAGCCCUUUUCUGCGGGAAGAGUAAAAGGACGGUACCGCAGGAAGAAGUCUCGGCUAACUACGUGCCAGCAGCCGCGGUAAAACGUAGGAGACAAGCGUUAUCCGGAGUUACUGGGCGUAAAGGGCGUGUAGGCGGAGCUGUAAGUUUGGUGUGAAAGCGUCUGGCUUAACCGGGCGAGGCCACCAAAGACUGCAGGUCUGGAGGGCGGUAGAGGGGUGUGGAAUUCCGGGUGUAGUGGUGAAAUGCGUAGAGAUCCGGAGGAACACCAGAGGCGAAGGCGACACUCUAGGCCGCACCUGACGCUGAGACGCGACAGCACGGGGAGCAAACAGGAUUAGAAACCCCUGUAGUCC
rnacentral:rRNA from 1 species